rnacentral:rRNA from 1 species
UACGAAGGGUGCAAGCGUUACUCGGAAUUACUGGGCGUAAAGCGUGCGUAGGUGGUUGUUUAAGUCUGUUGUGAAAGCCCUGGGCUCAACCUGGGAACUGCAGUGGAAACUGGACAACUAGAGUGUGGUAGAGGGUAGCGGAAUUCCCGGUGUGGCAGUGAAAUGCGUAGAGAUCGGGAGGAACAUCCAUGGCGAAGGCAGCUACCUGGACCAACACUGACACUGAGGCACGAAAGCGUGGGGAGCAAACAGG